AAAGCUUGAGCUUUACAUCCACCUUUGAUAAGUCUACAGGUGAAGCAGAUCCAUUAUUAUUCAUUUUUACGUAUGAAAAUAUUCAUAAUGUUUUUGCUAUCGGUUUCAAUUUUUUCCCUCUUCUUUAGCAUUGUAGAAAAGAAAAAUAGUAAGAACUCUGAGAAAAUACCGUCGAUCUUAUAUAUUAAUUUUUAUUUUCGUAUGAAAUCAAUUAGCUAGAAAGAGACUCAAAAGUCUAAAAUUUUGAUCACAUAUAAAAAAAAACUUCAAAUAAAAAAUUUAAAAAUCGAAAACCUAGCCAAACGGGGCCUUAUGCCAAUGCUUCAAAUCC
rnacentral:lncRNA from 1 species